rnacentral:rRNA from 1 species
UGGAGGCAGCAGUGAGGAAUUUUGGACAAUGGGCGAAAGCCUGAUCCAGCCAUUCCGCGUGAGUGAAGAAGGCCUUCGGGUUGUAAAGCUCUUUCGCAAGGAAAGAAAACUUAGCCACUAAUACUGGCUGAGGAUGACGGUACCUUGAUAAGAAGCACCGGCUAACUACGUGCCAGCAGCCGCGGUAAUACGUAGGGUGCGAGCGUUAAUCGGAAUUACUGGGCGUAAAGCGUGCGCAGGCGGUUUGAUAAGCCAGAUGUGAAAUCCCCGGGCUUAACCUGGGAACUGCGUUUGGAACUGUCAGGCUAGAGUAUGGGAGAGGGAGGUAGAAUUCCACGUGUAGCAGUGAAAUGCGUAGAGAUGUGGAGGAAUACCGAUGGCGAAGGCAGCCUCCUGGCCUAAUACUGACGCUCAUGCACGAAAGCGUGGGGAGCAAACAGGAUUAGAUACCCCGGUAGU